rnacentral:rRNA from 1 species
CCUACGGGAGGCAGCAGUGAGGAAUAUUGGUCAAUGGGCGAUAGCCUGAACCAGCCAAGUCGCGUGAGGGAAGACGGCCCUAUGGGUUGUAAACCUCUUUUGUCGGGGGACAAGGUCGCUAAGUGGUGGGAUUCUAGAGUACCCGAGGGAAAAGCAGCGGCUAACUCAGUGGCAGCAGCCCCGGUAAUUAGGAAGACGCGAGCGUUAACCGGAUUCAUUGGGGUUAAAGGGUGCGUAGGCGGGCGCUAAAGUCAGCGGUAAAAACGCGGGGCUCAACCCCGCCCAGCAGUUGAAACUGGACGCCUUGAGUGGACGACAGGCAGGCGGAAUGCGUGGUGUAGCGGUGAAAUGCAUAGAUAUCACGAGGAACCCCGAUUGCGAAGGCAGCCUGCCGGGGUGCGACUGACGCUGAGGCUCGAAGGUGCGUGUAUCAAACAGGAUUAGAUACCCUUGUAGUC